GAUGAACGCUGGCGGCGUGCCUAAUACAUGCGAGUAGAACGCUGAAGGAGGAGCUUGCUCUUCUGGAUGAGUUGCGAACGGGUGAGUAACGCGUAGGUAACCUGCCUGGUAGCGGGGGAUAACUAUUGGAAACGAUAGCUAAUACCGCAUGACAACAGUUAUUGCAUGAUAACUGUUUAAAAGGGGCAACUGCUCCACUACCAGAUGGACCUGCGUUGUAUUAGCUAGUUGGUGAGGUAACGGCUCACCAAGGCGACGAUACAUAGCCGACCUGAGAGGGUGAUCGGCCACACUGGGACUGAGACACGGCCCAGACUCCUACGGGAGGCAGCAGGAGGGAAUCUUCGGCAAUGGACGGAAGUCUGACCGAGCAACGCCGCGUGAGUGAAGAAGGUUUUCGGAUCGUAAAGCUCUGUUGUAAGAGAAGAACGAGUGUGAGAGUGGAAAGUUCACACUGUGACGGUAUCUUACCAGAAAGGGACGGCUAACUACGUG
rnacentral:rRNA from 1 species